GAUGAACGCUGGCUACAGGCUUAACACAUGCAAGUCGAGGGGAAACGACGGGGAAGCUUGCUUCCCCGGGCGUCGACCGGCGCACGGGUGAGUAACGCGUAUCCAACCUGCCUCUGACUGAGGGAUAACCCGUCGAAAGUCGGCCUAAUACCUCAUGGCAUCGUCUGCGGGCAUCCAACGACGAUUAAAGAUUUCAUCGGUCAGGGAUGGGGAUGCGUCUGAUUAGCUUGUUGGCGGGGUAACGGCCCACCAAGGCUACGAUCAGUAGGGGUUCUGGGAGGAAGGUCCCCCACAUUGGAACUGAGACACGGUCCAAACUCCUACGGGAGGCAGCAGUGAGGAAUAUUGGUCAAUGGGCGGGAGCCUGAACCAGCCAAGUAGCGUGCAGGAUGACGGCCCUAUGGGUUGUAAACUGCUUUUAUGCGGGGAUAAAGUGAGGGACGUGUCCUUCAUUGCAGGUACCGCAUGAAUAAGGACCGGCUAAUUCCGUG
rnacentral:rRNA from 1 species